rnacentral:rRNA from 1 species
GACGAACGCUGGCGGCGUGCCUAAUACAUGCAAGUAGAACGCUGAAGGAGGAGCUUGCUUCUCUGGAUGAGUUGCGAACGGGUGUGUAACGCGUAGGUAACCUGCCUGGUACGGGGGGAUAACGAUUGGAAACGAUAGCUAAUACCGCAUAAGAGUAGAUGUUGCAUUUCAUUUUCUUAAAAGGUGCAAUUGCUUCACUACUAGAUGGACCUGAGUUGUAUUAGCUAGUUGGUGGUGUAACGGCGCACCGAGGCGACGAUAGAUAACCGCCCAGAGAGGGGGAGCGGACACGCUGGGAUGGGAGCAUGACCCGCAACACUGGGGCAGGGAGCAGGAGGGGACUCUCAGGAAUGGAAGGAAGUCUGAACGAGCAACGCCGGGUGAGAGAAGAAGGGUUUCGGGUCGUGAAGGUGUGUUGGGCGAGAAGAACGAGAGUGACAGUGGAAAGUGCACAUUGUGACGGUACCUUAACAAAAAGCGACGGCUAACUACGUG